UGCCUCCACUCUUUACCCUCUAGUGUUAAACUCAGACAUCUUUUGUAUAAUGGAAAAAGAAAAGUGUGUUUUGAGCAUAGGUGGAAUUCUAAAACUGUGAUGUCCCCUGUGAACAAGCUCUGUAGGCAACAGAAUAACCCUUGAAUGGCUACAGCUUUGCACGUUGCUUCUCCCAACGCUGCGUCACCCCAGGUGAUCUGGUGGUAAAAUAAAGUUGAGCAAAGCACAAAGAACUGGGACUGUGAGAGCCACAAAGCUGCUUGUCUGAGACGCUAAUGACCAGGAACUAAAUAACUUCAGGCUACAAUGUACGGUGGGCAGCAUAUCAAUAAAUCUAACCAUAGCACACACACUAUCUUCUAUUAAUAAAUAGUUCAUUGAAAUGAUAA